UACGAAGGGGGCUAGCGUUGUUCGGAUUUACUGGGCGUAAAGCGCACGUAGGCGGUUUGUUAAGUCAGAGGUGAAAUCCUGGAGCUCAACUCCAGAACUGCCUUUGAUACUGGCAAGCUCGAGUCCGGAAGAGGUAAGUGGAACUCCUAGUGUAGAGGUGGAAUUCGUAGAUAUUAGGAAGAACACCAGUGGCGAAGGCGGCUUACUGGUCCGGAACGUGACGCUGAGGUGCGAAAGCGUGGGGAGCAAACAGGAUUGAGAU
rnacentral:rRNA from 1 species